UACGGGAGGGAGCUAGCGUUGUUCGGAAUUACUGGGCGUAAAGCGCACGUAGGCGGCUUUGUAAGUUAGAGGUGAAAGCCCGGGGCUCAACUCCGGAAACUGCCUUUAAGACUGCAUCGCUUGAAUCCAGGAGAGGUGAGUGGAAGUUCCGAGUGUAGAGGUGAAAUUCGUAGAUAUUCGGAAGAACACCAGUGGCGAAGGCGGCUACA
rnacentral:rRNA from 1 species